GCAGUGGUGGUUCAGUGGUAGAAUUUUACCUACUGUGCCGGAGACUGGGGUUCAAUUCCCGACCAAUGCA
rnacentral:tRNA from 1 species